rnacentral:rRNA from 1 species
CAAUAGCGUAUAUUAAAGUUGUUGCAGUUAAAAAGCUCGUAGUUGGAUUUCUGGUGGGAGCGAUCGGUCUGGCGCUUAGCGCGAGUACUUGCAUCGUCUCCGGCCAUCCUUGGGGAGAGUCUGUCUGGCAUUAAGUUGUCGGGUAGAGGAUCCUCAUCGUUUACUGUGAAAAAAUUAGAGUGUUCAAAGCAGGCUUAUGCCGUUGAAUAUAUUAGCAUGGAAUAAUAAGAUAGGACUUUGGUACUAUUUUGUUGGUUUGCGCACCAAAGUAAUGAUUAAUAGGGACAGUUGGGGGUAUUCGUAUUCCGUUGUCAGAGGUGAAAUUCUUGGAUUUACGGAAGACGAACUACUGCGAAAGCAUUUACCAAGGAUGUUUUCAUUAA